rnacentral:sRNA from 1 species
GCCAGGCUUUGUGGUGCAUGCCUGUAAUUCCAGUUACUCUGGAGGCUGAGGCAGGAGGAUCACAAGUUUGAGGCUACCUGGGUAACUUAGCAAGACCCUGUCUCAA